GAAGAAAUCAGAGAAAUAGGAAAUAAAUAAGCUAAGAAAAGUGAAGUACAAAAUUAAAAAAAAAUUAAAAAAGAGUAAAUGGUUCAUGAUAUCACUUGUGACUGGAAGAUUAAGUAAUUUAAGAACUGAAAAUGGUACAUUGGAUGUGAGAAUUAGGAAGUGGCUGCUGAACUCAGGAAGAAGCAUUUCAGCAAUUCAAGGAACUAUCAUGCAAGGAAUUUACAUCUGUGUUAGCUCUAGUGCACUUUCCUAUUACCUUUGCUAUAACCAUAGACAGCGGGAAGAGAAGUCUGUAUCCCAACCCACUGCAAUGACCAUGUAGCUGCAAUGUCCAGCUCCACUCAACUUCUUCAACCUUACAGCUGCUAUUGAACUGCUUCAAAUGUGAACCUGAAACCACCGUUCCAGGCUUCCUGGCAUCCCCAUGAUUGCAGCAUGCCCCCAAACAUGCGGCUUAGAGAUCAGAGGGCUCCAGUGGGGCACGAGUGGGGAUUGUGUGGGUUGGGCUAGGAAUCUAGGAAUUGGUCUAGGGGAAAAUCUUUGAGGAACAUAUUAGUGAAAAUUCACAGAUCACGUUUAUAAAUCAAAGGUUCUGAGAAAUAGUUCAGCUGAGAAACAAGUAUUACUGUAGGCAGCUAGGUUAAAUAGAAAUUAAUACACAGUCAGAGAAGGACUGGGCCCUCAAGAAAGUCAGCACAUAAAUAAAGACAUCAGAAUCAUGGCUGGAGGCACACCCGAAGAAGGCCAGGACUCAAGAUGAAGAUGGCAACAGCCAGGCCUAUGUACUUUCCUAAGGGAUAAACAGCAACUUGAAAUUACACUGUCAUUAAUACCGCCUGGUCCAGUAGGUCCAGACUGAUAGGUACCAGUCACCCAAGGUGGAUGAACUGAACAUCUGGCCCCAUCCUUUCCCAAAACUGCAUUUGUUCAUUCCAAGUACACUUGCUAUGUGACUCAUUUCCCUAUUGGGUCAGUCUUUUCUAAGCAGCUAUAUGUUGAUUGCAGUUUGACCCAACUUGCUCCCAC
rnacentral:lncRNA from 1 species